CACCAUUCUGUAUUUGGGGACUGAGAGUUAGACCAACCUAAGAUAACACUUUUAUCUCUAUUCCAUGAGAUUUAUUGGGCUUUGCUCGCCUCUAGUACUUCGGCUGCAAUGUGUGUGCGUGUCAGGGAACUAUGCAUAUGCCUGCUGGGUCAGGGGCUAUCUGAUAAGAGUGAAGGGAGACACUAGACAGGCCAUAACUUGAUAGGGUGCUCCUCCAGGCCAAACCUUUGAACCAGAGUCAUGCAUUCCUUCUUCAGGUACAUCCUCUUAUCAGAAUGUUCUUGCAGUACCAGGUUUUUAUCCUCGGUGAAUGUUCUGCAUUUCUGCUUCCUCCUUGGAUUAUUGGAAGACUCUUGUGAUUUUGGAGGAACUUGAGAUGUCAGGACCAUGGUGAUAUGGUGAUGCUGAGGUACUUGUAGAACCUUAGGUGACUGGGUUCAAUAGAAUGCUAGAGGAUCUGUUACUUUGAAGUGUAUCAGGGCCUCCAUCCUUUUUUCACCAGGUGGAAUUGACAAGCCAUGGGGAACAUGAAAUUCUGGGAUCAUAUGGGAAUUUGGUUCCAUUGUGAGAUCUUUGUAGACUAAAGACACUGGGAAUAAAAACAGAAAUAGAUCAGAGAAGCCCUAAAGAGCCUAGCUCAUUCACACAUAGCUCCCCAUUGCCUGUUGCAGG
rnacentral:lncRNA from 1 species